AGGAAAAGAAACUAACAAGGAUUCCCCUAGUAACGGCGAGUGAGCGGGAUGAGCUCAAAUUUAAAAUCUGGCGGCCUCAGGUCGUCCGAGUUGUAGUCUAGAGAAUCGUUUUCCGCGUUGGCCUGUGUACAAGUCCCUUGGAACAGGGCGUCAUAGAGGGUGAGAAUCCCGUCCUUGACACAGAUUACCAAUGCUUUGUGAUGCGAUCUCGAAGAGUCGAGUUGUUUGGGAAUGCAGCUCAAAAUGGGUGGUAAAUUCCAUCUAAAGCUAAAUAUUGGCGAGAGACCGAUAGCGAACAAGUACCGUGAGGGAAAGAUGAAAAGCACUUUGGAAAGAGAGUUAAACAGUACGUGAAAUUGUUAAAAGGGAAACGAUUGAAGUCAGUCAUGCUUUCCGAGACUCAGCCGAUUCUGUCGGUGUACUUCUCGGUUGGCAGGCCAGCAUCAGUUUCGAUCUGUGGAAAAGGUUGGAGGGAACGUGGCAUCUUCGGAUGUGUUAUAGCCCUUCUUCGAAUACAUAGAGCGGGACUGAGGAACGCAGCGCGCCUUUUAUUAGGUUGGCCCUCGGGUACAUACGCGCUUAGGAUGCUGGCAUAAUGGCUUUAAACGACCC
rnacentral:rRNA from 1 species